GAUGAACGCUGGCGGCGUGCCUAAUACAUGCAAGUCGAGCGAACAGACGAGGAGCGUGCUCCUUUGACGUUAGCGGGGGACGGGUGAGUAAGACGUGGGUAAGCUACCUAUAAGACUGGGAGAAAUUCGGGAAAACGGAGCUAAUACUGGAUAAUAUUUCGAACCGCAUGGUUCGAUAGUGAAAGAUGGCUUUGCUAUCACUUAGAGAUGGAGCUGCGCCGUAUUAGCUAGUUGGUAAGGUAACGGCUUACCAAGGCAACGAUACGUAGCCGACCUGAGAGGGUGAUCGGCCACACUGGAACUGAGACACGGUCCAGACUCCUACGGGAGGCAGCAGUAGGGAAUCUUCCGCAAUGGGCGAAAGCCUGACGGAGCAACGCCGCGUGAGUGAAGAAGGUCUUCGGAUCGUAAAACUCUGUUAUUAGGGAAGAAAAAACGUGUAAGUAACUGUGCACGUCUUGACGGUACCUAAUCAGAAAGCCACGGCUAACUACGUG
rnacentral:rRNA from 1 species